UGGUUCAUCACAGUUCAUGACUUUGCAGGCAAGUUGCUGCUGUUUUAUUUGUGUUGUUAAGGAACAUACGUGGGAAGAUAAUAUAUCUAACCUAUUGUAGUUAUUCAGAAGUGCAUUUUAGUCAGACACUGUGAUUCUGUUGUUGAGAUUUAUUAAAUUUUCUCAGCAUGUAAGCUGCUAUGUUUCAUUGUUGAGAAAAUACAGAAUUUCCUUAAUUUUCUUUCAAGUAAAAAAAGUACAUUUAAAUCACGGAGUGUUUCUGUGAAAUCCUGAUCACUUUAAUCAAGUUAGAACUUUUUAUUGAAGGAAAACUCAUUUACCUAGCACCAUAUUGGAAGAAAUGUAAUGUAAUGCAAUGUAAAGUAAUAGAAAUAAUAUAAUAUCGUUUUAGUUUCUGGGGAAAUGUAAUAACAGACUCACUAUGUAGUUUCUUCCCUAUGUUUGUAAGUGUGGGGUGUGGCUGUGUGAGCAUAAUAAACAUGUAAUUAACUGAGUUCAUGGAAUCCCUAAAGACAAAGAACACAACUCUGAGCCUGACGUUAUCCCAAGGCAUAAAUAAUUGUUGCUUGGCUUCUUUCAUCACUAAGGCCUUUUAUCCCAUUCUGGCUUGAGACCAUCUUCUCUCCAUUUCCUUGUGCUGCCGCCACGAAGUCCCAUGAAGUCCAUCACAUGAUGAAGGCCAUUGCCGGUGGGACUCCACGGAGGCAGCACAAGGAAACAGAGGGAAGUCUCUAUUUGCAGGAAACAGGUUCUACCUGACUCCCAACUGCAGAAGCUGCAGAGAAGGCAGGAAAAGCGGAAAAGAACUGGCCAGCUACAGAAGAUCUUGCUGGCCGGAAGGUUGGCAGUUCAAGCUGUGGGUUGAGGUGAACUUCCGCUGUCAGCCCCAGCUUCUGCUUACCUAGCAGUUUGAAAACAACAAUGUGAGUAGAUAAAUAGGUACUGCUUUGGCAGGGAGAUAAAAGGCAUCCUGAAAAUGUGCCAGCAAAAUCCGAUCAAGAAGGUGUCCAUGGAUGACAGGCUCCUCAGUGUGAAAAUAAUGAAACAGCACCUCCCCAUGACUGAGUCAAGCACAGCCUCCAGAUGCCAGAGAUGAAAACUGGAAAGCCUUGCCUCUGUUUAUGUCUGUCUUUGACAAUUGUAUAAAUGACAUUGAAUGUUUGCCAUUCAUGUACUUGUAAUCUGCUCCAGGUACCCUCGGGGAGAUAGAGUGGAAUAUAAAUAAAGUAUAUUAUUAUUAUCAUUAUCAUUAUUAUUAUUCCCAAUAGACAACUCUAGUUUGCUCC
rnacentral:lncRNA from 1 species